GAUUUUUCUGAGUGUGUGGAGAGUAGGUUGAGAAGAAGAAGAAGAAUGGUAGCUGUUUUGAAUGCUGAGAUCUUUCAAACAUCUUGCUCUUUGUGUCAGGGUUCUUCUUUUAGGGUAUGUCUAAACUACAUGGCUCUGUCGACGGAGCCAUGUAG
ensembl:miRNA